rnacentral:lncRNA from 1 species
CUAAACCCUAAACCCUAAACCCUAAACCCUAAACCCUAAACCCUAAACCCUAAACCCGCGCCACGACGACGCGACGAACGGCGACGCGCGAACGGUACACCAGGACGUCGACGGCGCGUCCGAUGUCAAAUCGCGCGUCGUCGUCGUCGCGAGCGCGCGCCUCGCGGCGGCGGCGGCGUCGCGCGCGACGGUUGCGAGCGCCUCGACGCCAUCGCCGCGGAGGUACCGAAGAAUCGCCCGCGACGAACCCGCCGCCGCGCGUCGACGCAUCGCGCGAGAGGACGAGCGACGACGCGGCGCGCGCGCUCCGUUCUGUUUUCUGUUCCAGCCGCACUUGUCUGAGUUGCAGCAGUUGCGUCCGCGUCCUUGUGUUCGAUCUCAGCAGAAUCGCCCGUCAGAUCGACCCGCGCAGCCGUCUCCGCGCCCCGCGCGGCGUCGGCGAUGGGUCGGAAAAAGAAGAAGAACCACGGCGGCGGCGGCGGCGGCGGCGGCGACGACGUCGCGACGGAUCCCGCGCCCGCGGCGACGGAGGACGACGACGCGGGAGAAGGUUGGGCGACGGUGGCUGGGCGCAAGAAGAAAUCGCCGCCGCGCGUCGUCGUCGNNNNN